CCCGCUGAACUUAAGCAUAUCAAUAAGCGGAGGAAAAGAAACUAACAAGGAUUCCCCUAGUAACUGCGAGUGAAGCGGGAAAAGCUCAAAUUUAAAAUCUGGCGGUCUUGCGGCCGUCCGAGUUGUAAUCUGGAGAAGCGUUUAUCCGCGUCGGACCGUGUACAAGUCUUCUGGAAGGGAGCGUCGUAGAGGGUGAGAAUCCCGUCUUUGACACGGACAACCGGUGCUUUUGUGAUGCGCUCUCGAAGAGUCGAGUUGUUUGGGAAUGCAGCUCAAAAUGGGUGGUAAAUUCCAUCUAAAGCUAAAUAUUGGCGAGAGACCGAUAGCGAACAAGUACCGUGAGGGAAAGAUGAAAAGCACUUUGGAAAGAGAGUUAAACAGUACGUGAAAUUGUUGAAAGGGAAACGUUUGAAGUCAGUCGCGUCGGCCGAGACUCAACCUUGCUUCUGCUCGGUGCACUUCUCGGUUGACGGGUCAGCAUCAAUUUUGACCGCUGGAUAAAGUCGUUGGGAAUGUGGCAUCUUCAUGAUGUGUUAUAGCCCGUCGUCGCAUACGGUGGUCGGGAUUGAGGAACUCAGCACGCCGCGAGGCCGGGUCGUUUCUGCGAUCACGUUCGUGCUUAGGAUGCUGGCAUAAUGGCUUUAAUCGACCCGUCUUGAAACACGG
rnacentral:rRNA from 1 species